GACGAACCGAGCGAACGUUGUUCGGAAUCACUGGGCUUAAAGGGUGCUUAGGCGGGCUGCCAAGUUUGAGGUGAAAUCCUCCGGCUCAACCGGGGAAGUGCCUUGAAUACUGGCGGUCUGGAGGGAGGUGGGGGCGUGCGGAACUAACGGUGGAGCGGUGAAAUGCGUUGAUAUCGUUAGGAACUCCGGUGGCGAAGGCGGCACGCUAGACCUCUUCUGACGCUGAGGCACGAAAGCCAGGGGAGCGAACGGG
rnacentral:rRNA from 1 species